CGCGGCCUAUCAGCUUGUUGGUGAGGUAAUGGCUCACCAAGGCGACGACGGGUAGCCGGCCUGAGAGGGCGACCGGCCACACCGGGACUGAGACACGGCCCAGACUCCUACGGGAGGCAGCAGUGGGGAAUAUUGCACAAUGGGCGAAAGCCUGAUGCAGCGACGCCGCGUGAGGGAUGACGGCCUUCGGGUUGUAAACCUCUUUCAGCAGGGAAGAAGCGAAAGUGACGGUACCUGCAGAAGAAGCGCCGGCUAACUACGUGCCAGCAGCCGCGGUAAUACGUAGAGCGCAAGCGUUGUCCGGAAUUAUUGGGCGUAAAGAGCUCGUAGGCGGCUUGUCACGUCGGAUGUGAAAGCCCGAGGCUUAACCUCGGGUCUGCAUUCGAUACGGGCUAGCUAGAGUGUGGUAGGGGAGAUCGGAAUUCCUGGUGUAGCGGUGAAAUGCGCAGAUAUCAGGAAGAACACCGGUGGCGAAGGCGGAUCUCUGGGCCAUUACUGACGCUGAGGAGCGAAAGCGUGGGGAGCGAACAGGAUUAGAUACCCUGGUAGUCCACGCCGUAAACGUUGGGAACUAGGUGUUGGCGACAUUCCACGUCGUCGGUGCCGCAGCUAACGCAUUAAGUUCCCCGCCUGGGGAGUACGG
rnacentral:rRNA from 1 species